GGGAUAGAAAGUAGUGAAGAAAGGGACUCAUAAUCCCUUGGUCGCAGGUUCGAGUCCUGCUGGGCCCACCA
rnacentral:tRNA from 1 species